CGGAGAGUGCAAACGUUGUUCGGAUUCACUGGGCGUAAAGGGCACGUAGGCGGCUCGGCAAAUCGGUCGUGGAAUCUCGACGCUUACCGUCGAAACGGCGGCCGAAAAUACCGGGCUCGAGGGCGUGAGGGGUCACUGGAACUCCUGGUGAAGCGGUGAAAUGCGUAGAUAUCAGGAGGAACGCCGGAGGCGAAAGCGAGUGACUGGCGCGUUCCUGACGCUGAGGUGCGAAAGCUAGGGGAGCAAACAGGAUUAGAUACCCUGGUAGUCCUAGCCGUAAACGAUGGACACUGAGUGGAGGAGGGCUUGCCUUUCUCUGCUGCAGCUAACGCGUUAAGUGUCCCGCCUGGGGAGUACGGCCGCAAGGUUA
rnacentral:rRNA from 1 species